CGACACCGGGGCCCAGUACCGGGCGAUCACCUGGUGGAUGGUGGAGAACGGCAUCGACACCGCCGACGCCGAGGCGGUCGCGGACGCGGCGGGCAAGCCGGAGAUCGUCUCCGGCAC
rnacentral:rRNA from 1 species